CUGUGAUGAGCUUUUAGAUGACGAGUCUGAAGCGGUCAUGGCGAGGCUUCCUCGUCAUGGCUCACUUGGAUGACCAACAAAAAUUAUACCAUUCAUGCUUUACUGAUU
rnacentral:snoRNA from 1 species